rnacentral:rRNA from 1 species
CCACUUCGGUGGGGAUUAGUGGCGAACGGGUGAGUAACACGUGGGCAAUCUGCCCUUCACUCUGGGACAAGCCCUGGAAACGGGGUCUAAUACCGGAUACCACUCUCACAGGCAUCUGUGGGGGUUGAAAGCUCCGGCGGUGAAGGAUGAGCCCGCGGCCUAUCAGCUUGUUGGUGAGGUAACGGCUCACCAAGGCGACGACGGGUAGCCGGCCUGAGAGGGCGACCGGCCACACUGGGACUGAGACACGGCCCAGACUCCUACGGGAGGCAGCAGUGGGGAAUAUUGCACAAUGGGCGAAAGCCUGAUGCAGCGACGCCGCGUGAGGGAUGACGGCCUUCGGGUUGUAAACCUCUUUCAGCAGGGAAGAAGCGAAAGUGACGGUACCUGCAGAAGAAGCGCCGGCUAACUACGUGCCAGCAGCCGCGGUAAUACGUAGGGCGCAAGCGUUGUCCGGAAUUAUUGGGCGUAAAGAGCUCGUAGGCGGCUUGUCACGUCGGGUGUGAAAGCCCGGGGCUUAACCCCGGGUCUGCAUUCGAUACGGGCUAGCUAGAGUGUGGUAGGGGAGAUCGGAAUUCCUGGUGUAGCGGUGAAAUGCGCAGAUAUCAGGAGGAACACCGGUGGCGAAGGCGGAUCUCUGGGCCAUUACUGACGCUGAGGAGCGAAAGCGUGGGGAGCGAACAGGAUUAGAUACCCUGGUAGUCCACGCCGUAAACGGUGGGAACUAGGUGUUGGCGACAUUCCAC